AUGUGCUUAUGGAUAAUGUUGAAUCUGAUCAUGAAAAAGACCAGAAAAAUGUGCUUGGAGACAGAUUUUAGGUUUAGUGUUCCUUGGAAUGUUCAAAAGGGGAGCGCCAAUUCUUCCCUUUUUUGUAGACCAAAUGAGCUUUUGUUUGGUAAUAUAAUUGAGCUUUUUGUAGCCAACUACUUGAUUAGAUAA